ACGGGUGAGUAAUAUAUCGGAACGUGCCCAGUCGUGGGGGAUAACGUAGAGAAAUUUACGCUAAUACCGCAUACGAUCUAAGGAUGAAAGCGGGGGAUCGCAAGACCUCGCGCGAUUGGAGCGGCUGAUAUCAGAUUAGGUUGUUGGUGAGGUAAAAGCUCACCAAGCCGACGAUCUGUAGCUGGUUUGAGAGAACGACCAGCCACACUGGGACUGAGACACGGCCCAGACUCCUACGGGAGGCAGCAGUGGGGAAUUUUGGACAAUGGGCGAAAGCCUGAUCCAGCAAUGCCGCGUGCAGGAAGAAGGCCUUCGGGUUGUAAACUGCUUUUGUACGGAACGAAACGGCUCUUUCUAAUAAAGAGGGCUAAUGACGGUACCGUAAGAAUAAGCACCGGCUAACUACGUGCCAGCAGCCGCGGUAAUACGUAGGGUGCGAGCGUUAAUCGGAAUUACUGGGCGUAAAGCGUGCGCAGGCGGUUAUAUAAGACAGUUGUGAAAUCCCCGGGCUCAACCUGGGAAUUGCAUCUGUGACUGUAUAGCUAGAGUACGGUAGAGGGGGAUGGAAUUCCGCGUGUAGCAGUG
rnacentral:rRNA from 1 species